GGAGAUAUAUUAGUUGCACUGUUC
rnacentral:siRNA from 1 species